rnacentral:rRNA from 1 species
GGGAAAGGGGGGGGGGGGGGGUGCGGUAAUGUGUAGGGUCGUGGCGUUGUGCGGAAUUGUUGGGCGUAAAGGGCUCGUAGGCGGUUUGUGGCGUCGGGAGUGAAAACUUCGGGCUUAAGUCGGAGCUUGCUUUCGAGACGUGCAGACUUGAGGCAGUCAGGGGAGAACGGAAUUCCUGGUGUAGCGGUGAAAUGCGCAGAUAUCAGGAGGAACACCGGUGGCGAAGGCGGUUCUCUGGGAAUGUUCUGACGCUGAGGAGCGAAAGUGUGGGGAGCGAACAGGAUUAGAUACCCUGUAGUC